rnacentral:rRNA from 1 species
UACGGGGGGGCAAGCGUUGUUCGGAAUUACUGGGCGUAAAGGGCUCGCAGGCGGCCGACUAAGUCAGACGUGAAAUCCCUUGGCUUAACCAAGGAAUGGCGUCUGAUACUGGACGGCUUGAAUCCGGGAGAGGGAUGUGGAAUUCCAGGUGUAGCGGUGAAAUGCGUAGAUAUCUGGAGGAACACCGGUGGCGAAGGCGGCAUCCUGGACCGGUAUUGACGCUGAGGAGCGAAAGCCAGGGGAGCAAAGCGGGG